CACAGCGUAUAUUAAGUUGUUGCAGUUAAAACGCUCGUAGUCGGAUUUCGGGGCGGGCGGGCCGGUCUGCCGAUGGGUAUGCACUGGUCUGGCCGUCCUUCCUUCCGGAGACCGUGCGUGCUCUUAACUGAGUGCGCUCGGGAGACGGAUUGUUUACUUUGAAAAAAUCAGAGUGUUUCAAGCAGGCAGCUCGCUCUUGCAUGGAUUAGCAUGGGAUAAUGAAAUAGGACUUUGGUGCUAUUUUGUUGGUUUCGAACACCGAAGUAAUGAUUAACAGGGACAGUCAGGGGCACUCGUAUUCCGCCGAGAGAGGUGAAAUUCUCAGACCAGCGGAAGACGAACCACUGCGAAAGCAUUUGCCAGGGAUGUUUUCACUGAUCAAGAACGAAAGUUAGGGGAUCGAAGACGAUCAGAUACCGUCGUAGUCUUAACCAUAAACCAUGCCGACUAGGGAUUGGAGGAUGUUCAAUACGUGACUCCUUCAGCACCUUUCGGGAAACUAAAGUCUUUGGGUUCCGGGGGGAGUAUGGUCGCAA
rnacentral:rRNA from 1 species